GCAGACCAAGGCUCCCCUCCAAUUUUUCUGCCCUUUCCAUCCAGCCAAAGUUCAAAAAUCAGGAAUGCUUUCUAAGAGACCCAAGGGACACUUCAGAUAGCCCAAAAUUCAGUAAUUAAUUAUACAUCUGUAAUUUUCUACCCUAUAAGGCUCAUACUUGAAACUCAUGCAGAGCGGGGUUUUAUUCCAUUUGAUAGACUAAAAACUCUCACAAUAUUGUUGCUCUGAAAGUUAUUUCAAUACUUGUCAGUAAAAAUAAACAGCGUGUCUGAACUCUACGGUGACACUCCAAAAUCCAACCUUCUGGGUCCUCCAGCGUUGUAGCAAGUGGUCUGCAACCGUGCUAUGGAAAUACAGACUGGCAGGUACAGACUUCCACUGACAGUCUGCACAAAGUUCAUGCCAGUUCACAAAAAAACCAACCUGGGAGUUGAGUAUCAUCUAUAUGCCCAAAAUAUUUCCAUCACUGCUGCUCCAAACCACUGUGAAGACCAACCAAGGCGACCGUCUACAGCAGCCAGGAGCUGAAUCACACACGCGUCAGCCCAUGUCCUCGUUUUAUCAUUAGGCUCGAUCCAAAGUCCUUGGGGCAACUGAAAAGCACUUAGUGAGCCGAGUUCAGGUUACACACUCCAAUCAAUCGCAUAAAAAGGAUGGCAGAGCCUGGGUUUCAUUACACAUUAACACUGACGAGUGCCAGCUGGAGACGGGUUGCAUGCUGACCCCCCUCAGCGCAGCCCAAAAGCCUUUGGGGCUGAUGGUACAGAUCACUGCUGGCGGCUCCACUUCAUGGGGGGAAAAAGCUGGUGUCUUGCUGGAUUGAAAGAAAGGAUGAGAACUCCCAGUGCUGAAACAUCAUCCAGGACGGCAUUUGUGCCCAGAGUCAGAUGCAGUCUGGUUCUGUCCACUGCCACCACGGGGAAAUGCUGCCCAGGGCCCAGGCGGCACAUGAACAGUGCAAGGAUUCAGCAAAUGUGGCACAGAAACACCGAUGCUGGUGGGGGCCCGCUCCAUCUCCACAGCAGUGAUAACCAGCGACUCCUGCUGCAGAGCUGGCGGUCAGUCAGCCUGGGUCUUCAGUCCUUCUAAGACUCUCCAGGUCCUGGUUUUUGGUUUGGUUUGGUUUUAACCAGUGAAGUUUUUCCAGAGCAUUAAUCAUCAUUUAACCAGCAGCUCAAACAGCACAUGGUUGGGUGACAAACACAGAACAAGGGUGCAGCUUGUGAGAUUUUCCCAUGGGAUAAAAGAUUGUGCCACUGGAUUAAGUCAUGGAGCAAAUGCAGAUAUCCCACAAAAAGAGGGAGAAAGAUAACCAAUGUAGGAAGCAAGGUACAUCACUUUAUUCUAAUACUUCAAACAUUUCCUCUACCAGCAGCUAAGAUCGAUCACUGGCAUCCUCAGUGAUGCAUCCCCUCUUGAUCUACGACCCAACGCCAGACCCGGGACCCAACCCGCCCACAUUUUGCAGUCAAGAUCCUCUGUAACACACAUGGUGUGCUGUACCCGCAGUGACUCCUCUGUUCAGGACAAAGGCUGCUGUCCUCCCUCUCGUGCAGUUUGGAUGUGGCCACCCAGCUUCCAGAAGGCUGCCAGAGCAUCCACCACACUCCUUGCCCGACACGCUGGUGAAAGAGGCAGGACUUCAGCAGUGCUCAGUGGGGACACAUAAACUUUGGCUCUUGUGCGAUUACUUCUGCCUCCCCAUCAGUUUGUCUUCCCAGAGCAUAGGCGGGCUUUCAGCAGCCUCCAAGGAGUUAAGACUGUCUCUUUUCAAACAGCGUCAAGAAUUUGUGGGUGUCUGGCAAAACUGGAAGCAUCCUUCUUGGCAUUCCCCCUCGAGGCAGCACCUCCUCUUCCAAGGAGAGGCUCACAGGUUAGGGGCUGGGCUAUGGUGGUGGUACGCAGGAUCUCUUGGCACCAGUCAGGUCAGCAACCUCCUGACACCUUUGGCUGCAGAAGACGGUUGUCAAAAAGCCUGCCUAGCAUGCUCCCUAGAUCCUGGUAACAGGAAACCCAUCCGUGUCAAGGCCUCUGACCCAACCACCACUAUGUCCAGCAUGAAGCUCUCCUGGGGAACCAGGAGAGAGCAACAGCAACCCUGAGAAGAGACGCAUGUUCUCUUUCCCAGAGCAGGGACAAAUGUACCUUCCACUGUUUUAAGUGCACAGCAAAAAUGGGAAAACUUUGCAAAAUGUGUUAGGGAGCGAAAAGCACCUGACAGCUGUAUUCCAGAUGUAUCGUAGGUUUAAGUUUUCACAAAGGUGCUUCUGGCAACAUAUGGGGCUGCCUCAACCUUUGACAAUUCCUAAACUGCAAGAAAAAAACCCAAAUUAAAAAAAAUUAAAUGGCUACAGAAGAUAAACAGUGAGGACAGACUGGCCCCUCCAGCACGGAGUCGCUUCCAGCUGUGGUAACACUGACCUCUGGUACUUCCUAUGCAUGAUGGGCUGAAAAAAACAAUCAGCCUCAAGAAAAUGCCUCUGUCCCCACAGCAAUUUAUUAAAACAAGCUAGAUAAUGUUCUAAUGAGCUGAGAGAUAGCUAAAUAUUCAGACCAAGAGCCAAAAGGAAAUGCUUAGGCAAACUCUCAAGAGCUGAAGUGCUGGGACAAACCAGCGGAUUUCAGGAGUUAACCAAGAGAAGGGGUUUGAGGAGUCCGGAUGCCGCAGCACUCCACACCGGCGCUGCAGGUACAGAACAGGCAGCUCAGACCUGCCCUGUGCCCGCACGGGGAUGGGAGCCACAUGCUUCUGCUUGUGUCAAACAACAGGUAACCAAAAGCCAGGAAGAAAGAGGCACAGGCUGUGCCAAAGGCAGUGCCGAGCCCCAGAGCCAGCAGGGAACCCUCCACCCAGGACCCUGCCAGCCAUGUCCCAAGGUGGGAACCCUCCAGUGGUGGGGAGUUGCCCAGCUCCAGGGAGCCACAGCCCGGUGCAAACAUCCAGGCAACCAUAGAAUCACAGAAGGGUUGGAAGGGACCUUAAAGCCCACCCAGUCCCACCCCCCUGCCACGGGCAGGGACACCUUCCACCAGCCCAGGCUGCUCCAAGCCCCGUCCAGCCUGGCCUGGGACACUGCCAGGGAUGGGGCAUCCACAGCUGCUCUGGGCAGACUGUGCCAGCAGUCUGCUACCUCGCUACCCUCACAGGGAAGAAUUUCUUCCUAAUAUCUGAUCUAAAUCUAUCCUCUAUUAGUUUAAAACCAUUGCCCCUUGUCCUAUUACUACAGACCCUACUAAGACAAGGCGCUAAACGUGGUGGGGAUAUUAUGCACCCUGACAGGCAAACAGACACUGCUCCCAUUUGCAAAGUUAAAUAAGAACAGAAUUUAUCCAGAUAGCUAUAUGUACCAAGUUAGCCUAGUUUUUAUGGUACCAUCCUUCACAUAAGCCUAGAUUAAAAUCACUCCUUUUCAAGCAGUUAACCAUUUUCUGUUGUUCAAAGGCAAACGGCACCGCAUGAUCCCAAAGGAGACUGCUGGUGCAGGCUUGCUGAGGCUUUCCCAGGGGAAUUUAAAGACAUGUUAUGCUUCCCGCACACACACAGUGCGCUGGAGGCACCCUGCAGCAUAAGGCAACAUGGGCUCUGCCACUUACCACCUGCCUCCUGGCAGAGCCAACACAGACACACACUGCCACGACUUCCACACCAGCAAAUACAAACUGAAGCCAGAGCCCAACUGGAUUCGUGUCCUCAGAAAUCAGAGCUCGGUGUUACAGGACUUCAACCACAGCCCACAUGAGACAACUCAACAAAUACACCAUGAAGCACUGAGCUGGCAAAAGGCAUGAGGUGUGCAAGGGCAGAGGUGGCUCACCAGGGGCAGCCACCCACUCACACCACGCCUGAGCACGCACUUCGUUACCAAGCACAGACUGAUCUCAGUCCCAGCGGUGCUUCCCAACUCCCCAUGCCAAGUAGUUUUUCCUAAAAUGAAACCUUGAGUGUCCAGAGAAGUCACAGACGCCAGUUUGGGGCACCAAGGCAGAGACCAUCAGUCUCAAGCUCUCCGCUCACACGCUGGCCGUGGUCACCCUCUCUGCCUCGCACUUGGGUUUUCGCUCUCAGCUCCGUUCCCAAACCUGUUGUUGGUGAUCACACCCGAACCUGGCAAAUAGUUCUGCAAGACACCUGCUGCUGUGACGGCCUGGUGCAAGGAUCUGCUCACCAUCAGGUCUGGUUCUGCUCCUCAGGGAUGCUCAGAGUUCGCUCUGGGGAUCUGCACCAGCCUUCUGACCACAUCCACGCUCAGGCUGGCUGCUCUGCCGAGGUGGGUCACACCUUCCCACUAACAAAUCAGCCUGUUAGUACCAGGCAGCUCACUGGCCCCAUCACCAGCUAGCUCCUUCCUCCUCAGCUUUGACGAUGAUUCUUCAGAGCUAGCAGAGAAAGAACUUAUUUGAGGUCAGCAGAGUCAGCCCUUCAGUCCACAAAGGAUGGCAUUGUCAUAGAGGCUGGUACCGCAUCCGCAGAAACAAUUCUCAGCAAACACAUCUAGUAUCCAAACCUAACUGCCUUUUGGUUCCUACAGGUCCUACGCAGAGCCCUUAUGGACAGUACAAGGUAGCAAACAAAUCUGGACACCUUCAAGAGCUGGGGUCAGGAUCCCACCAGCAUCCCCUCCUCCACUGGCUGCAGACAGGCAAAUGGUGUCAGCAGGAAAAGCGUUUCCAAGCAGUGUUUUAAAAAGCUCUAAUAGCCUACGUUAAUGAAAACCCACUGUGUUUCAUGAGCGUGAGUAUAUCAUGGUAAAGCCUGUUCUGGAUCAAGAGCCAAUUUAUACAGAGAGGGCUUUUAAGUUAUCUGAAGGCAUUCAAAAGCACCAGUAGAAACUCUCCCCAGCUCCCAGCUCCGGGUCGGCCCAGGGGAUGGAGGCUUCCCCUCAAACGUGCAAUUUCUACUGUUACCCAAACUCGUCAGGCAAGAGGCUCACAUAUUUAUUAAGUAUUCUCAGACAAAAGCAACUUUGAUUCGCAUCUGUAAGCCCCUUAGUGAACAAAGUGCCAUAUAUAUUGCUGAAGGAGUCACAUGAAAGCUCACAAGAGAUUUAACAUUUAGUUAAGAGAAUUAAGGAUAUUACAGUAAGGGGGGGCCAGGGCAGUAGCUGCCCUAAUGAACCAGCUCCUCUGCUAAUGCACAUCUCUGUUUUCUACAUCUAGAAUAUAUGAAUUCUUUCCACAUCCAGGAUUCGACAAACAGCGACAUGGGGCUGGCCACGCACCUCCCGGAGCUACCCUCUUAAGCAGGAGCAGCAGAGAAAAUGCAAUUUAACAACAGAAAAAGCAGGCAUCGGGUGCUUCAGAGCUGCCCUUUAAAGACGCUCAGCGGUAUGCAAGGGAAGUUAUUUAUCUUAAAACCAUGCGAAAUAACAAGGAGCUUUCAGCACCAACACUGAUAAGGAGAUUGCUGAACCUUAUCUGGGUGCGGAGCAGGAGCAGCCCGCGAUGCUGCCAGGGUUAACGCCGGCUCAUUUACACGGUACCACCAGCUUGCGGCGCCAGAUGCUGCUCAGCUCCCAGCUCCCUACCUCGGCUGGCCCUUCCCUCGAGUCACAGCAAAACCAGCACCCUUCGGCGGCAGGGACCCGGCCGCCAGCUCCGGCCAGCGUCCCUCCGAGGCCCGGAGCGCUGCGGCAGCCCGGCAGCCCGCCGAGGGGGCCGCCAGCCACGUGAAAGGUCAGGCACGGGUCCACGCAGACCCCUUCUUCCUAGGACGUGUUUUCGGCAGUUCAGAUGCGAGGCACGUUUUAUGAGAUAAUCGGAUUACUCUUUCCUUUAAAGGAUUAAUAGGGCUUGGGUUGGCCCCUCUUCUUUAAAAAGAAACCAUCUGGAACCAGACUGCCCCGUGCCCUCGUCGCCAUCUGCUCCCUGCAUGGAGGCACCGCCGCUGAACCCGGCUGACGGCCGGGCACAACAUCCAAGGGGACAAGGGAGAAUCAGAGCCAGAUCAAGCGCCCAGCAGAAGGGAGAUGAAGCCACACUCAUUAUGGGGCUCAAAACAACACGCUUGAGACCCAGCUCCAGCACAUGGAAUGCCAGCUGGGAUGAUGAAAGGCACAGGAAUGUUACUGAAGCUGGACAAAGCUAAUCCAUUGGGGGCGGGGGAGGGGAACCCCAGGCAUCAAACUGUAAUGCUGUUACAGGACAGGUGACCUGUGGUGAGAGACAGCAUCCUUAGACAAGGGAAUUAUCAUCAUGGUCACACAGCUCAGGCAUAUGGGGACAGCGUUGGACGCAUGUUACACAUAGAUGUGGCACUCAGGGACACAACAGACUUGUCAGUGCUGGGUUUACAGUCGGACUCAAUGAUUUUAAAGGUCCUUCCCUGCCUAAACGACUCUAUGAUUCCCGCUCCGGAGAAGGGCUCACUGCCACUCAGCUCUGAGCUUGCUGCAAACACAACCCACAAGCCCUGUGGGACCACCCUUCUCCCACCUGCCUCCAGUUGGGAACCUGCUCCCCUGCUUCGCUGCCCUGGGGCUCCCCGCGCUCAGCAUCUCUGGGGGUCUCCAACCACAAGCAGGAACCACUGCAGAUGAGCCUGCCUCACCAGGGAGCUGCAGAGACGGCCAUGGGGCAUGUCCCUUCCAGCUGGAGCUCUGCACAGCUCGACCAUCGUACAGGCAGUGAAACGUCAACCCUGGUGGCACAGAGGUGGUAAAGGAGCUCACAGCCCAUUUCACUCCCAAAAUUAGCAGAGGAACACCGUCUCACUGCUUUUUAAGCAGACAUUUGGUAUUCUUCCCACCCCAUGCAGCACACCAGCAAACCCUUCCGAGACAGGCCAGCACCUCCCCUUGUGCCAGGCCUGGCCCACCAGCUCCUGACCAGCCGCCAGCUGCCACCGAGCCCCAGCCAGGUGCACGAGGCAGAUGCCUGCGUGCAGAACGACACCCCCAACACCCCACACUGCUCCGCUGCAUCACAGCUAACGGGAAGCACCUCCAGCUUCGUGCGGCCCCAGGGAUGAUCCAGCAGCUGCCAGUCAUGCCCUGGAGCCCCGUGGGGCUCCCUCCCCAGCAAUGGGCCAUACAAGCAACAGCAAAGGCCAGAACAGCUACGACCUCAACAGCAAGAGGUCCUGCUCCAGAUGAGCCCAAAAAUGGUUGCAAAACCAAGGCAAACAGAGAGGGACAAUAGCUGGGAGGUUAAGGACCAUCUGGCACAAAAAACAGCAAGCAGCAGCUUUUAAUAUGAUUAAAGUCUAUAUUUAACAUGCAAAGAGCUACCCUAAUCUCACAACUAAGGAUUUAUCUGCUAAUUAUGUUAGUUACUUUGUCAUUGUACCAACUGGACUGCAAUUUUCACACGCUUGUGCAAGGUCAAGAGCUGUAAAGGAGGGGGGUGGAGAGCUGACAGAUUUAUUAAAGGCCAAAAAAUUUAAAUUAUGAGGUGGCAUCAGCAAAAACGUGGCACUGGCCUGUCCCUCCGAGAAGAGUUGUGAUGUACCUGUCUAAGCCUGUCUCCAUGCAUCGCUAGUCAGGAAGGAUUCUCUGAACAGCUACUCUCAUACAACCACUUCUCUUAAAAGCAAUACACAGCUAAAGCUCUGAGCAGAUGGCAGCGUACGUACAGUAGCCUGCAAUCAACCUAACUGCCUGGAAACCAUGGGGAACGGCGACAGGAAAGUAAAGAAACACAACAUUCAAAAUGAGAAGUUCUCCCUAUGAGCACAGCAGAGCCACAACGAACAGCUGGGUGCAAGUCAGAACUGGAUGCGAAACGGGCAACAAGAGCUCGCAGGACCAGGACAUGGCGCAGAUGCACACACACCUGUAAAGCCCCAGAGACAUGCAGAGACCUUGGACCAGAGGCUGACAGAGGGGGACAGGAGAGAGGGGGCACCCUGAAGUAGGUGUUCCCAGCCACCCCUCUGCAGUGUUUUGGCAGCUCUUCCUUAUGCUUCUGCAUUGCUCCUCGCCUGUGGACUUUCCAUGGACAAAUGCUGCUGUCUGGAUCAGAUCUCCACCCAAAAAUCAAAAUGAAAGUGGCUGGAAAGAAAGGAUGCAUCAAAGAUACCAGGAAAUGCAUUGCGCACGCCGAGAACUCAGCAGGAAAUAUUUUGUUUUGAUUGCUGCUGUGCUUGGCUUCUGUGAAAGAAUAUACUCAGACGCGAACAGAAGGUUGCCUUCACUGCCUUGAACGGCAGCACAGAGUGCAGCUGGGGAAGCGCACCCUCGAGCUGAUGGAUGCAGAGAUGAAGCCCAGCAGCAGCCAGAUGCUGAGCAGGGCUCAGCACUUGCAGGGGCAGGGAGGCCUCAGCCCGCACGAAGAACCAAGGGCACUUUGAAAGCGUCUGGCUGACACAUGCCGAAACCCCAGGCUCUGCUGCCAGCCGACAAACAGACAAAUCAUCACCCUCCUUUACGUGCCGACGCACUGGGUUUGCAUGCAGAAUACACCCACCGCACUCAGAAGGUUUGUGACUAAGAACUACGACGCCAGUUUUCCACACAAAACCAAACUCCACUUUUCAUCCAAACACAACCGGCAGAAAGCAGAAGCACAAAAUCAUCUGUCAAUGAAAAACAGAAGUCAAUCACCAUUUUCUAGCAAACAAAACCAAGAUCUGAAGUCUAAAACUUACACUACAUACUCAGAUAAACAUCUACCAAAAUACUGGAUCACUUCAGCUGUCAGAAGGACUAGCAACGAUACUCUGCAAAACAGUGACAGCUGUAAAAUCAGCGUGUCCCACCGGUCACAAAAACCGAAAGCAGAACUCUAGAACAAACAGCCUGCAGGAAAAGCCAGAAUCACCAUUUAAAUAGAAAGAUUCCUUCUCAGUGAUUUUAAAAACAAUUGCUUUGCUUGUUUAUCCACCCUGGCUGAUGUUUGCCAUUUUACAGUUCUGGUGGCCUUGGGCAGCUGCAGGCCAGGCAGGAUGUAUAGGUGUGCGGAAUGCCAGGAGCUGGGAAUCUGAGCUGCACGGCCAUGAGGCACGGCUCCCUGGACACCCGCGGCCUCACGCUUGCUCUAAUGGCCAAAUGAUGGAGGAAACUCAUACCGUGAGGGCUCACACACCACUUCAGCAGGUGUUGGCUAAGGCUAAACACACAGAAUACACUUACAGAAGAAAUAAGGAAUCAAGAUUACACACGGAAGAUGCUGGACUGGUACCAUCUGCCUCUGGUCGCUGAGUGCUGUACCUGGCUACCAAAAGCAGGCAUGUUUACCCCUGACUCAGCAGAUGAAAGCGUCACACUGCCGUCCUGCAGAGAAGUUCAGCUCCAAACCUGCAGACCUUUUUUUCAAAUCAUAGUGUUUAUGUUUUCAUUAUUUUAACAAUGACAUGUUCCAGCUUUGGCGCAGCUUGUGCCAGUGGCUUCUCAAAUCACACAGCCAGGACACUCCUCGGGUAACUCUCAGAGAUGCUCCCGGAUGCCCUCUCGCAGGACAGGACAGGAGCAUGGACCACGAAGCAGGACAAACUCAGGACCGCUUGUGCCAGCAAGAACGUGCAGAGCAGACACUUAGGACCAAGAGGCAGCUGAAGGCAGGAGCUGGCAGACAAAGCCCAGGGAGAUGUUUCAGGAGAAGGAGCAUGACUUGCCAGCACCAGCCUCUGAGCUGCACCCAGCAGGACAAAACAAGCUCCUCCGAGUACAGAGAACUCAGCCAGGCUUCCACCUCACCAUUUCAUUUUUAUUUUUCUAUAGCAUCAGUCUCUAGAGCGGUAGCAGAUAAACUGGUCUCAAAAAUCAACUAUUUCACUGUUGCUGCUGCAGCAACAUCAUGUCUGGUGUUGUGGGCUGCAUGUGGGCAUCUGGGGAAUGCUUUCUGCAAAGCACUCACAUGGGAGCUGAGGGAGAACUUGUCUUCUUUGCAUCCUUUCCAAAGCAUAAUACAAGUAAAAGCACAUAUCAACAGUAACCAAAACACCUAGAUUUUUAAGCAGUUGGAUAUAGGAUACAGCAUGGCUCCGCAUUACAGCUUUUCUGGCAGCAAAGCCAAUUUAUAAGGCUCCCAACGCCUUUCUCCUCAGCUUCUCGCCUGCUCUCUGCCUGCAUGACCAGCCUCCAGGUGUGCUGCCCCAGCCAGUUUCAAAAAUGCUGUCUCAGAGGAGGUUUCAAUGUGGCCGCAGACAGACACCCACCAUCUCGUAAUCCAGAUUUGCCAGUUUGGGGCAAUUACCAGUGGGACCAUGGCAGAAGAGCAUACCACUGGUGUCUCAGUGCCGCUUUCCUCCACGCCUGCAGUUGCAUAAAUUCUCCAGGGGAGAAAAUCUGGGACUUCACAUGGAAAAAGAAUCUCCCUAUCUUUUUAUUUUUUUAAAAACCACCAAAGCUCUUCAGGGCCUGUUUUACAACUUAUGAAGCAGAGAUGCAUAAUAAAGCAGCACAUCUUUGUUCCUUGCAAAACAAUCUCCAGAGACCAUCCCCUAAGAAUUAGCAAUGGAGUCUAGCGAGUGAAUCACCCCAUCAGCCUGGUUGGAAGUUCCACCACAUUUCACUUGCUCCAGCACCAAUUUUCUGCCACAGCAACUCCUUUCCAUGCAGUUGUUCAAGAGAAAGAAAAGACCCUUUCUCUGCAUCAAACCACUCAGAGAUUGCAGCAAACUACCCAAUUAGUGCAGCAGAAAGAACCUAACACCAGACUUCACUGAAAAGGAGAAUAAAACCAUCACACCUGGCAAGCCUUGCACACGCAGCUGUCCUAAAGCCUCUGCUCUGCAGUCAAGCAACUGGGAUAAUCAAAACGCAGGUAAAAGCCUCCAGGAUGUGCAAUUUUCCCAACUAGGAUUAGAUAUCUAGCACAGGAUUCUUCUCUGUAGUGGUGUGAAAGGGUCGACCAAAAUAAUUUACAUUACUGCAGCAAAACACAAAAUUAUGCAGAUUACUGUAAAUCUGUUGAGUAGUCUGAAAAAAAUUGCCAACUCAGGUAGUGUUCCCUUUCAAAGAUUGCUAAUGAAAAUGCUAGAACACAUUUCACCCAAAUAAGACAGAGAGCUUCCUAUUUCUUCUCUACAUACCCAGUCACACAGGCAAAGCAUUUGAAGGUUACUUUUUAUAUGGUAAAAUAACUGAAAAUCCCCCAGGGGCCACAAAACCUCAGUUUUCUCUCUGGAGGCACCCACGGACAGCCAGGAGAAGGGGCUGUGGAUAUUUUGUGUCCUUUAUUUUGGGUACCCGUCUGUCCCUCCCUCCCAGCUAAUCCAGCCCCCUCGUCCCAGGGCGAUGGUGCCGUAGCCCAGUGAGCGUGGCUGCACCAGCACCCAUGGGCGAGCUCAACCCUGCAAGUCAUCUCCGCUGGCAGAAUCGUGAGCCGGCGAAGCCCUGCGCAGAGAGCAUCUCCCUGAAGACACUGCCUGCAUCCCAACGGGAUGAGAGCAUUUGCGCAGCAGCGCUGCGCUCUCACCUACCCACGUGGGGCCAGCAGGGACCUCACUGGGUCCAGGUAAGUCCAGCUGGGACUUCAGCUGUCCAGCAGCCUACACACGACCCCUCUUCUGCGAACAGUGCCCACAUUUGCUGGAUUUAGAUUAUAUAUAAAGGGAGAAGUUCUUCCCUGUGAGUGUGGCGAGGCGCUGGCACAGGCUGCCCAGAGCAGCUGUGGAUGCCCCAUCCCUGGCAGUGUCCCAGGCCAGGCUGGACGGGGCUUGGAGCAACCUGGGCUGGUGGAAAGUGUCCCUGCCUGUGGCAGGGGGUGGGACUGGGUGGGCUUUAAGGUCCCUUCCAACCCAAACCCUUCCAUGAUUCUGUGCUGAUUCCAUGAUUUAAAAGCCAGUGGUGCUGGCACCCAUAGUCCCACUGGUGGCACGGACACACUCCUUCGAACAGGCAGGGUGACGGCCAUUUGUGCUGAGCCUGGGGACAGGACUGGGGGGGGCUGGAGCAGAGACAGAGCCAACAGAUCCACGUGUGUUGCCACAUUCCAGGAACGUGCAGUUCAAAAUGCCCCCCUAGUCCUGGCUGCCAGGCUGUGGGACCUGCAGCUCCGGCGCUGGGGCGAGCCCCCUCCACUCCACAAGCCACUUCCCACCUCCAGAUAACAGAUGUAUUUAACAAUAUUUCACCUCCAGAUAAUGGAUUUCAUUAAUGAUAGCAACAUCUCAAAAAAGUUUUGCCUUCAUCUGUCUCGUGACUCCCCCCAGCCUGUAUGAACGCAGGUCAGUCUUACGGUUUAUUUGCCUCAAGUCAUCAGUUGGAUGUUAUAAUUAACACAGCAGCCAAUUAAUAACAUAUGGGUAUGCAUCACCACAAGAAACUAAUAAAACCAGUUGUUAACAUCCUUCUCACAUGUCUGCGAUCUCAUUAGUACUGAAUGACAAAAGUUAAUGCAAUUAAAUCUGGCAAAAUUAGGUACACAUUUUUAGUGUCAAAUAUAAAAUUAUUUUAAUUUUGUAAAUCUAUCAAAUAAGGUUUCAUUUUUAAAAACAGACAGAAAGUUUAUUAAUUCCACAGUAUACUUGUGCUGAUUGUCUUCCCUUCCCAAGGAAGUCCGUAAUUUGUAAUAUCAACAAAAAAGCAUUUCAGAGUAACUUUUUCCAAACACACUUUGCUUACCCCACCUUGCCAAGGAACUUCUGGUGUAGUGUCCUGCCCUAACCCUAUUCCCCAGUUCCUCUUCCUUAACAGGACCUCACAGGUGACAAAAUUGAGAGGGUACAAACAUCCUUCCAUGGCUGGACGCUGAAAAGUCCAGAAGCUCCUUCUCCACUAACACGUGUGAUUUUGGGGCAUCUAGAAGACAAUGUCUACCAAUACAAAGCUCACCCUGAAUAAAACUGCAACAAUAAGACUAAUUAAAAAGGAACAUCCAUAAGCUGCAUUUCCACUCAGAGCAAGGAUUUCCUAAGAAUAAGGCUACAGGUCAAGAUGCGCUGCUCCAACCUGAGAACGACCGUGCACAUCAUUCACCAACACCUCCAUGAUCUUCAGUUCAGGAGCUCAGCACGCUCCUCCUCCAAUGCCACGUAACACACCCAGAAUCUCUAACCAAAACCCUAAGUAGCACCUCAGACCCAGCUUGCCAUGACCUGCACUGCUGCUGGCGUGUCAGACCGAAGCAAGGAUCAAGCUGAAUUCUCUGAGGACUCUGCCCUACCUCAGCUCUCCAGCACUGUCGGACGAGCCCGGCUCUAACCUGCCUGGCUAAACCCGAGACUGGUAUUCUCGUGACAAUUCAAAACAACGCAGUUACUGCCAUUUCAGGUUUGAAAAGAGGAGAAACUGUCCAAGCUGGAAAUAGUGUGCCCCCACCCACCAGACAGGCAUUCCCACCUGCGUUCCCAGCCGGAUGACUGCAGGCUGGGGACCCCACAGCCUUCCCGAGCAGAGGUGGAAGGGCAGAGCCAGGUCAGUGGUGGGCCAGGGAGGCCGGUGCCCACCUGCGGCCAUUCCUUUCGGCUGUGGUCACAGUCCUCUGCCAGCUGUGGACAGAUGGGAGCAGCAAGAGACACACCACAAACUUGGGGACAGUCAUCCUUGGGGACACCAGGGCACGACAGCUGGACACAGCAGCCGGUGACACAACCCAGAACUUUUUCAUGCCUCCAGACACGGCACAACAAGGUGGCUCCUCGCUGACCUCUUGCUAACAGCCAGAGCAUGCCUCAAGAGCUGCACCUCGCACACUGUGGGGUCUGCCCUCUGCUCUGUGGGCUCCGCCUCAAAAAAACAACGGACAAAACUUCAGGUGGGGUCGAGUUUUAGGAACUCUUCUCCUGUCACCAGUGACCAAAAAGUCAUCUUCUGCCAGUGCCCAACGAACAAGGGAGGCAUGAGCACCCUCUCUGGUCACACUGACCUUGCCAGCAGGACACACCAGUGUCUGGAUACCCAAAUGCUGGGCACCGAGAGCAAGGUGGCGAUACACUGGUGUUGAGUACAGAGGACGGAGGAGCAGAGAGCUGUAGGAAGCCCCCACAGAUGCCAGCCGAUGGGAGAAGGGGUACGCACUAGAGGCCAGAGUCACCCCCUGAGGCUGCUCACCCAGUAAGAGACUCCGAAUUAGGCAGGAGCCCUCAGGAGAUCUGCAUAAGCACCAGCAUGGACAAUUCGUAACAGCUCAUUCAUCACUCCCAUGCAGCAACAGUCUAAAGGGCAAAUAAGCUGCUAAAUUACAUUAGAUGAGAAAUAAGUGUACUCCGAUAGCGGAGGCAGCGUUCCUUCCUCCCACUCUGCCAAACCUGCACUACAGGGUACCAACAGCCAGCUCGGGAGCCUCAAGAAGGGGCGCAGGGGAGGUGGUGGGGAUCGGGCAGACAGAGAAGCCAGCAGGAACGUUGACCCACCAGAGCAGCCAUCACCGCCGGUGCAGCAUCAGGCCAGCCUCCAGCAGGACAGUCCCCAGGUGUGCAGCCCAGGGGAAGCCAGCACGGCAGGAGGAGCAACUCAUACCGCUUGCCAGGCCAGCACGGACAGGGCUGGAGGAGAAAUCUCCAGGAGAGGAGCAAGCCCCAUGGGUGACAUGUCAGUUGCCCACCUGCACCAUUAAUAGGAGACUUCACUCUGCACAACUGCCUACCCGGCACCACUCAAAUAUGGUGUUUUCCCAUUUUUACCCCUGCUUGAAGUAUUACACACAUUUACAGACUAUUUCCUCAGUUAUUUGAAGAUACUGGUUAUUAGUCACUGAAAAAUGGAUGCAAUUCCCAGUGACUUGACUUGUGAUUUGAGCGUGAUUUAGGUCACUACUGUGUUUCAUCUGAGCAUAACAGUUUCACUGUUUCACUCCAUUAUAGUGGGUAACCCAAGGAAUUUAUUGUGUUCCUUCCAGAAGCCAGACUCACAUCAUUACGCCAGCACACAGGGACGCCUCCCUCAGUGCAGAUAUGACUAAUUGAACCUCAAACUGUCAUUCAAGGUACAGAUCAAAAGUUUCAGGCGAACCUUGAACACAGCAACCACCCCUGAAAAGCUCCCAUGACAAGAUUCAUGACCGCUGGUUAAAACGCUCUUAGCCUUAAAUUCAAGAUGUGACCCAACACGGCUGGAAUAAGGAAAGACUUGGAAAUAAUUCUAGUUCCUGUUAAGUCUAGUUAUUACUGAAUAGACAGCGUGUGGUGCUGCCAUACUGUCCCUAUUGAAAAGAGGGGAUUACCCUGGGAUUAAGCACAGACCCGUCACCCAGUGACACGGUGGGGGUGGUGGCCAUCUCACCCAGCAGAAGCCAGAGCGGCGCAGAUUUGCACUGUCAGACUCGCAGAUGAGCCAGGGUGAAGCACCCACACCAUGCAAACACCACUGUGGCACUGGAUUUACCCUGCUCAAGGCAAGAAGACAAACACAGACAGUUUGGGUGUUUCUGAACACAAUGAUGCCAGCCACAGCACUGGCGUAUGGCCACCUGUCCCCAAAAGCCUCAUCUGGACACUGCUGGGACAGGCAGUCGCUCCAGCCCAGCCGGAGGGGCUGGUGCACUCGGUCCCCGCGAUAGCAAUUUCAAAAUGCAAUUUGAGUAAGACACAGAUAAACCUGCUUGCAUCCAGGAGACGCAGCUGCCGCCCUGCCUGACCGAAAUUCAAUGCAGUUAUCAGGCCAGAACUGUCAAGACUCAGGUUGAAAUUUCACCUUCUUCGUCCCGCUCCCCCCCACUGAAAGCAGGAACAUUUCGCAAACACACAGCCCGGGAAGCUUGGGCAGCCUGCCUCCGUCCACCACAGACAUCUCCCAGCGCAAGAGCGCUCCGCAGCUGCAUCCCUGCACAGAAAGAUGCUUUGACCCUGCACAGGGUGGGUAAAGCAACUUUCCAGCCUCACACUAUCACCAGCAGCCCCGAGCCUUUUUCUGAAUGGCAGCUGCUCUGUUCAGCGGUCUGUGACCACACAAACGAACCGUUUUGGCCAGAGACCAAACCACACACACGCGCCCCACCAGUGGUGGGCAGCUCCAGGCUGGGUGCUCUUGCCCAAUGCCCUUCCCCAGGCAGGCAGAGCAGUCGCAGGUCACACUCCUCCACCAGGUUUUUUCGGGGGCAGCCCCCAGGCAGGACACAGACCUGGCAUAAGGGGGGGCAACGGGAAGGGGUCUGCCCUCCCCAGCUCUGCUGAAGCGCAGCCCGCCCACCCCUGCAGCCAGCCCCGGAGUUACAAAGCACUCUGCCAAGUUGGCAAGCACGAAGUAACAGAGACGCCGAAAAUGCACUGCCCAGUCCCCAAAACAGCAAGUGUCUGGGACACAAUGUCACCGCGCCGGCGAGGAAGAACAAAACGACAAAGAAAGAAACUCCAAAGAAAGGCCUCGCUGUAGGGCCGGUGCCCAGCUCCAGUUCUGCUGCCCACCGCACAGCCCAGGGUUAACUGCAAUACGGUAAAACCUGGAAAUGAUUUUCAGGCACUCGGAAGCUCAGUAUCUCACCAUGCAAUCUGGAAAAUAAGCAAAGAGGAAGGAAAAAACACGAUGCAGAAAGGAAAACAACGCCAAAUCUUUGUGCUGAAAAGCCCUAGAACGAUUCUGUCAUCACCAGAGGCUCAGCUGACGCCUCAUUGCAUUAUCAGUGAUAAUUAACAGCAAAUGCAGACUAACUUAAAUCAAAAGGACUCGACUACUAAUACAAUUCAGACUGUUUAUCUGCCCACCAUACAUCAUAACAGGUACUGUUAGUGAUGAAGAUAUCAAAUUCCAGAAAUAGAAAAGCACAGGAAACAGCAUCUAGAUUUCAGUAUAAAAACAGAUACAUUUUUCAUUGCAACAGAUAGCAUUAAGAUACACCACAAUAUUAUCUAAUGGCAUAGCCAGGAGUUUGUAAAUAAGUUUCCCUCCCCC